rnacentral:lncRNA from 1 species
CUGCUCUUGGCUUGGGGCAGCCAUCCCGGAGCUUUGAGUCCCGCCGCCACGCAAGGCAGGGCAGGUCUGUCUUCAAGAAAAACAAACCAGACUUACCUCAGAGACGGCGAAAAGCUUUGCGGAACAGCUGACAGCCCCCCUGGCAGGAGAAGGGAGGACACCAGCAGCAAGACGCUCCCCAAGCCUGCGGGACGCAUGCUGAGUUUCCAGGCUGCAGAAGCAAGGAGCGUGGCUGCGAGGGCAGCAUGUAAUGAUGAAUAUUACCAUGAGGACCAUGUGCAGCUGUGAAGCAAAGAUGUUUGCAGAAAACACAAGGACAAGCACCACUUGAGAGCAGAGGUAGGAAGCACCCAGUUGCUGUGUGGAAGGUUCUGAGCUUCUCACUGACCCCAAAGACCCCCUGACAGCUCUGAGAGAAAGGCCUAGUCUCUCUAGUGCCUGAAACCAAACUUAAAGGGACUGAAAAGCAUCUUAGUCCUUAAACAUAGUUCUGAGUCAUCAGGUCACAAAAUCAUAGAAUCUGGGGUUCAAGAAAUAUUUUAUAAACACUGAAGCUGAAGCUCCAAUAAUUUGGCCCCCUGAGGUGAAGAGCUGACCCAUUGGAAAAGACUCUGUUGCUGGGAAAGAUUGAGGGUGGGA